rnacentral:rRNA from 2 species
AGCGUACAAUAGUUAUUUAGUUAAUUCUAUUAGUAAUUAUAUAUUUAUUUUAAAGAUUAAAUUAUAUAUAUUUAAAUUUAAGUAAUUAAAUUACGAAAUUGCGAAUAGUUUAUUAAAUUAAUUAUAGUUUAUUUAAUAGUACUUUACUAUAUAGAUAACUAUAGUAAUUCUAGAGUUAAUAUAUAUUAAAAACCCCGACUUCGGAAGGGGUAUAUUUAUUAAAUUAAAAAUUAAUACCCUUCGGGGCUAAUUAGUAAUUUAUAAUAAUUUUUUAAAUUGUAUAGCUUUGCGUUGGUAAUGGUUUAUUUAAAUUUCUGCCCUAUUAAUUUUCGAUGGUUGGGUUUUGGUUAGUUAUAGUAAUAACGGGUAAUAGAGGGUUAGGGUUCGACCCUAGAGAAGGAGUUUAAGAAACGGCUACUAUAUUUAAAGAAGGUAGUAGGUAUAUAAAUUACCUAAUCCCGAUACGGGGAGGUAGUAAUAAUAAAUAUUAAUAUAGGGCUCUUUUGGGUUUUAUAAUUAGAAUAAAUAUAAUUUAAAUCCUUUAACGAGGAAUAAUUAGAGGGUAAGUCUAGUAUUAGUAGCCGUAGUAAUUCUAAUUCUAAUAAUAUAUAUUAAAGUUAUUAAGGUUAAAAAGUUCGUAGUUAAAUUUUGGGUUUAGCCCGUCGGUCCGCCUUACCGCGUAUAUUAAUUGGGUUGGGCCUUUUUUUCUAGAGAACCGUAUGCCCUUUAUUAAGUAUAUUAGGGAAUUAGGAUUUUUAUUAUAAAUAAAUUAAAUUAUUUAAAGAAGGCUUAUACUUGAAUAUAUUAGUAUAGAAUAAUAAAAUAGGAUGUGUAGUUCUAUUUUAUUAAUUUUUAGGACCGUUAUAAUAAUUAAUAGGGAUAGUCGGGGGUAUUAAUAUUUAAUUAUUAGAAGUGAAAUUCUUAGAUUUAUUAAAGAUUAAUUAUUAUAAAAGUAUUUACUAAGGAUAUUUUUAUUAAUUAGGAACGAAAAUUAGGGGAUUGAAGACGAUUAGAUACUAUUAUAAUUUUAAUUAUAAAUUAUACCGAUUAAGGAUCGGACGGUAUUAUUUUUUAACCCGUUCGGCACCUUACAAUAAAUUAAAAUAUUUGGGCUCUUGGGGGAGUAUAGUUGUAAGGUUAAAAUUUAAAGAAAUUGACGGAAGGGUACUAUUAGGGGUGGAGCCUGCGGUUUAAUUUGAUUUAAUAUAGGGAAAUUUACUAAGUCUAAAUAUAAUAAGGAUUAAUAAAUUGAGAGCUCUUUUUUAAUUUUGUAGGUAGUAGUAUAUAGUUAUUCUUAGUUAAUAGAAUAAUUUAUUUACUUAAUUACAAUAAUAAACGAGACUUUAAUUUAUUAAAUAGCCUAUAUUACUUUAGUAGUAUAUUAGCUUCUUAGAGGGAUUAUUAAUUUAAACCAAUAGAAGUUUGAGGUAAUAAUAGGUCUAUAAUACCUUUAGAUAUUUUGGGCCGUAUACGCGUUAUAUUAAUAUAGUUAGCGAGUAUUCUUUUAGCCGGAAGGUCCGGGUAAUUUUAUUAAAUUGUAUCGUAUUAGGGAUAAAGUAUUACAAUUAUUACUCUUUAACGAAGAAUCCCUAAUAAGUGUAAAUUAUUAAUUUAUAUUAAUUACAUCCCUACCCUUUAUAUAUACCGCCCGUCGCUAUUAUUAAUUGAAUAGCUUAGUAAGGCUUCCGAAUUAGCCUAGGGAAGUCGGUAAUAACUACCUAAGGCCGGAAAAUUAUCUAAAUUCAAUUAUUUAGAGGAAAUAAAAGUCGUAAUAAAGUCUCCAUUAGUAAACUAGUAGAAGGAUUAUUA